rnacentral:rRNA from 1 species
ACGGUACCGGAGGAAUAAGCACCGGCUAACUUCGUGCCAGCAGCCGCGGUAAUACGAAGGGUGCAAGCGUUACUCGGAAUGACUGGGCGUAAAGGGUGCGUAGGUGGUUUGUUAAGUUGGAUGUGAAAGCCCUGGGCUCAACCUGGGAAUGGCAUUCAAUACUGGCAGACUAGAGUUCGAUAGAGGAUCGUGGAAUUCCCGGUGUAGCGGUGAAAUGCGUAGAGAUCGGGAGGAACAUCUGUGGCGAAGGCGGCGAUCUGGAUCAGAACUGACACUCAAGCACGAAAGCGUGGGGAGCAAACAGGAUUAGAUACCCUGGUAGUCCACGCCCUAAACGAUGCCGACUGGACGUUGGGAGGAACUUGCCUCUCAGUGUCGAAGCUAACGCGUUAAGUCGGCCGCCUGGGGAGUACGGUCGCAAGACUGAAACUCAAAGGAAUUGACGGGGGCCCGCACAAGCGGUGGAGUAUGUGGUUUAAUUCGAUGCAACGCGCAGAACCUUACCUGGCCUUGACAUGUCCGGAAUCCUACAGAGAUGUGGGAGUGCCUUC